AGUGACAUGGCCGAGUUUAGGCAUUAAAUUGUAAAUUUAAUUACGGGUCAUUCCCUGUUACUA
rnacentral:tRNA from 1 species